GCGGUGGAGCAUGUGGUUAAUUCGAAGCAACGCGAAGAACCUUACCAGGUCUUGACAUCCCCUGACAACCCGAGAGAUCGGGCGUUCCCCCUUCGGGGGACAGGGUGACAGGUGGUGCAUGGUUGCCGUCAGCUCGUGUCGUGAGAUGUUGGGUUAAGUCCCGCAACGAGCGCAACCCUCGACCUUAGUUGCCAGCAUUCAGUUGGGCACUCUAAGGUGACUGCCGGCUAAAAGUCGGAGGAAGGUGGGGAUGACGUCAAAUCAUCAUGCCCUUAUGACCUGGGCUACACACGUGCUACAAUGGGCGGUACAAAGGGUCGCGAACCCGCGAGGGGGAGCCAAUCCCAAAAAGCCGCUCUCAGUUCGGAUUGCAGGCUGCAACUCGCCUGCAUGAAGUUGGAGUUGCUAGUAACCGCAGGUCAGCAAUACUGCGGUGAAUACGUUCCCGGGUCUU
rnacentral:rRNA from 1 species